CAUAGGUGCACCACCACUCCCCUUCAUACCAGCCUGCAGCCAUCAGCAUGGACUACUGGGUGUCUAGUGCAGCUCCCCAGGCUCUGUGCUGUGCAGCUGAAUGCAUGCGCUUCUGGCAGCAUUAAACUGUGCACUAAGAUGCUGUCUGCAGACUUCAUAAUGGGAUGGCAGGGUAGGGACUCUUAGGAUCCAGCGAAUUCCCAAGCAACAGGAACAAUUUGCCCUUUAGCAUCCCAGGCGAACAGCUUCCUGCUUCCAUGUGGGACCUAUCAACCAUGAGUAAACAGUGGAAACCCAAUUAGGAGCCUUUUCCUGCUAGGAAGUAAACUAUUGUUUGAUAGGAGGCAGGACUGUUCCCCCUGGCUAAUUCUCCAGCUGGAACGAUAAGUGCUGAGGUUAGAAGAAGGUGAGAACUAUUAUUAAGCUCAAUUGGAAGUCUCUACAUUUAUGGCAAAGAAAUGGUAUCUGAGAGUAGUGGCUAUUGGGAAGAAACCAAGAAAUGUGAUGAGACUGAAUCCAACUGGACUGUGGUUUUCCAGCACCCCAUGGUAACUAACACUCCUGUUUGGGGAGAUCUUGUUCUAAAGUCUUUAUUGGACCUCAACUUAAAAGAAACUUUCCUGCUUUUUCCACUGUGAUUUAAGGGACUGAGGUUUGGGACUGAAUGGUGGGUGGUGUGCCUGUGUGUAUGUCUUCUGUUGGGGAUGAGAGGAAACAGCAAAAACAGUCUUUCCCAGGCAGUGUCCCCACUGGCCCUUGUUGGUCAAUCCUCCAUUGGAGAUUUUUACGGUCAGAUAGUUAUUUUCCCCCCAGAUUUCUGCUGUAACUGCUCGAGCAUCAUCAGCGUGGAAGCCACUUGCACCUUGCCUACAUUGGGACUUGCAUCACUGCUGGGCAGCUCUGAUCAUGAUGAUACCCAGUCCUUUUCACUGGAGAUCACAGCCUGAUUAAGGAGGAGCCAUGGAGUAGGAUGCAAUAUGCUUGGUGGAACUGUUGCUGUUUCUUGGAUAAUAUCCAAUGCUUCCUGCAAUUGAGGAGUCUUUUUCCAUGGAUUUUGGAGGACGUUUGGUCGAGCCUUAACCAGAGGAGCAGUGGUAAUGCUGCAUCUAUCAACAUUUGAUCCUUUCCUUUAUCCCAAAGAUGAACAUUAGGCCUAAGGCAAAAGCUUUGCCUUUCCCAGCUGGAGCAGGAUGAGGGGCUGACACCCUCUAACCCUUGACUUCUAGAUGAUCCCUCCCAGAUGAUGGACUGGCCUCAUAAAACAGGCCCCUGGGAAAACACCAUGUCACGGGCUGCUGGGAUGGAUUGCACAGAACAGGAUGCUAAGAUUAAUUUACCAGGAUAUGACAUUUUGGAUAAGCCAGUAUAACGAGGCCUGGGCGAAACAGAGAACUCCCUGCAAAGUGAUGGGCACAGUGGCAAGAGCUGGCUAAGAUUUACAGAGGCAGUACUUAAACUGUCGCAUUCCAGUGCAGCUGCCCCUCGGCUCUACAACGUGGAUGAAAAUGAGUGAUAUACUUAGAAAAAAGACCACUGGAAAAAGAAAACUAGAGUCUUUCUAAGACUCAGAAGCAUUUUUUCUACUUCACUUAAGUAGCUACUCUUUAGAGAGGAUGACCCUGCGGCCCCUGCUUGAGCAACGAGAUGCUUUGUGGUCCAUUAGAUGGAGAGAAGAAGUGGCGUGGUAGGAGCAGCAGUCUGCCCAGUAGCCUUGUCCAGCUAUGACUUCAAGUGACGUUUUGAAGCAAUGUUACUAGUGAAGACACCGGCUUCCCACCCAGAACACUGUACCUCAAUCCUCCUCCAGGCUUGUGAAAGGAUUGUUAUACGGGACCACACACAUCCACCGUGCUGCAUGAGUGUUCACUGUCUCUGUUCCAGAAGACACAAGCUGGGAUAAGUCAGCACAAGACAUGGCAGACACAGAGGCAUGUGAUGUUGCGCAGCAUCCUCCAGGGAGAGGGUAGGAAGCCAGAAGUCCUUUGAAGUCAUGCGAGAGGUAACUUUAUUGAGGGAGUUGCCUUUAAAUCAGGGGAAAGGCCUGACAUAAACCACUUGGAGGCAAGACAAGGCCAGACAGCCCACAGGUCCUGCUCCUUUCCAAACAAACAGCAGAACAGGAUCCACUGUCCUUGAAAGUUUACAAUAUAAACCAGUUAAUCUUAAAUCCAGCUUCCUGCUUUUUCACCAUAUGCCUGAAUCCCCUCCUGCCCCAGAAAGUCUCCUGAAUGUCUUCCCAUUCUUCACAUCAAUGGCUUUGUUCCUGCUAAAUAUAUUUACAGCCCUCUCUAGGCCGUCUAGAG